GCACCCACGCUGAUCCAUGCAUUGUUUUAUUUUUAUACUUUUAUAAAAACUCACCAAUUUUUCUGCCCUCUGUGGCCACCUUCAUUCAGGAACUGUGUAAUUGUUAACAAGCAGGAAGGCCAGUGUAUCCCUGAAGUCUUCACUGGUGUGACCACGUCCCCAGCAGAAGAACUUUCCCAGUCAUUUCCCAGUGGCACAUGACGAACCGGGAUCCUAAAAGAAGCCUCAGUUGCAUGAGGCCCAGGCCGAGUGUGCUGCCUCUCCUCCAACGUCUUCCACUCCUGCCCCUGCCGCCGUGGAGGCAGCAGGAGCAACCCCUCCCCCGCCUCCUCCUCAGUGUACUCAGCGUGCAGACGAGGAUGAAGACCCUGACGGCGAUCUACUUUCACCUAAUGAAUUGUACAUGGGCUCUCCUGUUCCAGAAGGUGUCCAGAAUAAUGAUGCAGAUGGGCUCCCUGUGCUGGUUAAGAG